rnacentral:rRNA from 1 species
GUGGGGAAUAUUGGACAAUGGGCGAAAGCCUGAUCCAGCCAUGCCGCGUGUGUGAAGAAGGUCUUCGGAUUGUAAAGCACUUUAAGUUGGGAGGAAGGGCAGUAAGUUAAUACCUUGCUGUUUUGACGUUACCGACAGAAUAAGCACCGGCUAACUUCGUGCCAGCAGCCGCGGUAAUACGAAGGGUGCAAGCGUUAAUCGGAAUUACUGGGCGUAAAGCGCGCGUAGGUGGUUUGGUAAGUUGGAGGUGAAAUCCCCGGGCUCAACCUGGGAACUGCCUCCAAAACUGCAUGACUAGAGUACGGUAGAGGGUAGUGGAAUUUCCUGUGUAGCGGUGAAAUGCGUAGAUAUAGGAAGGAACACCAGUGGCGAAGGCGACUACCUGGACUGAUACUGACACUGAGGUGCGAAAGCGUGGGGAGCAAACAGGAUUAGAAACCCGUGUAGUCC